AAGGAUAUAGUUCAGAAGGUUAAAACACUAGUUUGUGGCACUAGAGUCGCAAGUUCAAUUCUUGCUAUCCGCC
rnacentral:tRNA from 1 species